rnacentral:rRNA from 1 species
AUGAACGCUGGCGGCGUGCCUAAUACAUGCAGGUCGAGCGAACGGACGAGAAGCUUGCUUUUCUGAUGUUAGCGGCGGACGGGUGAGUAACACGUGGAUAACCUACCUAUAAGACUGGGAUAACUUCGGGAAACCGGAGCUAAUACCGGAUAAUAUUUUGAACCGCAUGGUUCAAAAGUGAAAGACGGUCUUGCUGUCACUUAUAGAUGGAUCCGCGCUGCAUUAGCUAGUUGGUAAGGUAACGGCUUACCAAGGCAACGAUGCAUAGCCGACCUGAGAGGGUGAUCGGCCACACUGGAACUGAGACACGGUCCAGACUCCUACGGGAGGCAGCAGUAGGGAAUCUUCCGCAAUGGGCGAAAGCCUGACGGAGCAACGCCGCGUGAGUGAUGAAGGUCUUCGGAUCGUAAAACUCUGUUAUUAGGGAAGAACAUAUGUGUAAGUAACUGCGCACAUCUUGACGGUACCUAAUCAGAAAGCCACGGCUAACUACGUG